UCUAGGCUAAGGAUUCCCAGGUGGCUCUCCCUUGGCUUUCAGGGACUUCCUAGAUGGGUGAGGAGUGCAGCUUCCGUGGUCAUCACCAGGAAGCCCAAGGGUUGCAGGCUUUCCCACAAUCAACCAACCAGGCACGUGUCCGACCCCGCUGGCCCCGUGUACACCAGGUCCGACAGCGCCGGCGGCACCAAUGAUGUAGACCCACCGUUUUCCUGCACAGGUGUUCACCAGCGAAAUUCUGCUUUCCAAUCCAAAUCACGGAAAACACCUAGGAAAAGUUCGUUACUAUACUCUUGAAUGCAUCAAUGUCCAUUGGAGGUUAACCUGAGUUCCCCUGCCCAGUGGCUGAUUCCAAAGGGGAUGAAAACAGAACCUUCAAAGUCCUAAGACCUUCAAGUCCCACAGCACCACCCUGAUUCUACCAGUCAAAGCAAGUCACACCCAGAAUCAAGGGGUGGGAAAACAGAUUUCCCCUCUUGCUGCAAAAAUAGUAAAGGUUAUGCAGGCAGAAGGAGUUGUUGUGGACAUCUUCAGGAAUAAUUCAUCUAAUAUAGAGUUCAAGAUUAAAAAAAAAUUUUAAAUGAGCUUAACAAUCAUGGUAAUGAUAAUAAUAUCACCAGUGA